UUUGUCCAAAAAAAAAAAAAAGUUUUCUUUAAAAUUUAAUUUUUAAAUCUCGUCUCGUUAUCGUGAACCCAAUAUCGUGUCUCGUCUCGUCUUGUGGUAUUAGUGUCUCGUCACACCCCUACUAUUUACUUUAUUCUAGAUAGGAGUGGUAAACUCCAUCUAAGGCUAAAUACCGGCACGAGACCGAUAGUGAACAAGUACCGUAAAGGAAAGUUGAAAAGAACUUUGAAAAGAGAGUUUAACAGGGCGUAAAACUGUUAAGUGGUAAACGGGUGGGGUCCGCCCGGUGGGCUCGGGCCAAAGGCCGCUGUCGGGCGCAUUUCCAUUAUUACUUUCUUUAUCUACUUCAUAUUUAUUAGUUACAUAUUAUAUAUUAUAUUUCAAUAUGACUAACUAACAACUACUUAUUCAGAGAAGGUUAAAUUAACUUAAAAAUACAUGUCAGGGAGUGAGAACCACAGCUACAAAGUCUCUACAAACUU
rnacentral:ncRNA from 1 species